ACCUGCGGAAGGAUCAUUACCGAGUUUUCGAGCUCCGGCUCGACUCUCCCACCCUUUGUGAACGUACCUCUGUUGCUUUGGCGGCUCCGGCCGCCAAAGGACCUUCAAACUCCAGUCAGUAAACGCAGACGUCUGAUAAACAAGUUAAUAAACUAAAACUUUCAACAACGGAUCUCUUGGUUCUGGCAUCGAUGAAGAACGCAGCGAAAUGCGAUAAGUAAUGUGAAUUGCAGAAUUCAGUGAAUCAUCGAAUCUUUGAACGCACAUUGCGCCCCUUGGUAUUCCGGGGGGCAUGCCUGUUCGAGCGUCAUUACAACCCUCAAGCUCUGCUUGGAAUUGGGCACCGUCCUCACUGCGGACGCGCCUCAAAGACCUCGGCGGUGGCUGUUCAGCCCUCAAGCGUAGUAGAAUACACCUCGCUUUGGAGCGGUUGGCGUCGCCCGCCGGACGAACCUUCUGAACUUUUCUCAAGGUUGACCUCGGAUCAGGUAGGGAUACCCGCUGAACUUAAGCAUAUCAAUAAGCGGAG
rnacentral:rRNA from 1 species